CCGUUCUUUGGAGACCAUGUGACGGAUGGGUUUUGCGACUAAACUCUUCUGCAUUAUUUAUCUGAUGUUGUCUAUAUCACAGCCGUUGUCACUUCUCCCAUGUUUUUAUUUGUUAGUCACUGCCGUUGUUAUUUUAUUUCCCUUGUUUCUGUAGCUUGCAAAGAAGGUCACCCAUGGUGGUCGUUUGCUCUGCUACUUAACGAUGCCCUUGCUGGGUUGUUUUCUUCAGGUGUGAUGGUGUUCUCUUAUCAGGUAAUUCACUUUAUAUUCUCCUACAAAGUCGUUCUGCUGCGUCGGCGUCACAUGGAGAAGCAACCGUUGUGCACGCCCUUCGAGGCCGAGCUCGGCUGAUGCCUAUGACGCCAAGAUUCCGAGAAAGCUUGCUCAUGGUGCUGCUGGUAGGACAUGUUCUGUGCCCAGAUCAACAUCCCAUUACCCAGGUGUGUCGGUAGUGACCAAGUGAUUGACUCUGCUUGUAUCGAUGUUCCAACGCUUUGGAAAUAUCCUUUGUUACAGCAGAGGAAAUUCUCCGGAGAUAUAAACUGAUGGAAAAGGAUGCUCUUGAGUCGGCCAAACUUGUUGCUCUUGUGUACCUACAGAAUGCAGGCAUUAUCUUUAUAGUUGACAUUAAUUUGAGUGAGCUAACAAAGUGUGAAGCUGAAUUGGCAGACUGCAAGUACAAGCCGCUGGCUGGAUAAUCGUGGACGGCCGCAUUUCAGGGACGUGUUGAAAUUCUCCAGGCUGAACUAGCUCAAACAAAGACAAUCAGGUAUGGGCAUCGAGCAUUGACCCUGCAUGUACAUCCUGGUGCUGCCCACAGGCACAGCAACGCGACCUUCUCAACGCCGCUCUGCUACAAAAUUGACCAGUUCCAAGAAGAUUGGUGUGAUUGUGAGCAUUACCGUACAAAUAUACGGUUGGAAGGAUAUGGGAACAUUAUCUGCUUUACUUUUGCAUC